AGUGAACGCUGGCGGUAGGCCUAACACAUGCAAGUCGAACGGCAGCACAGUAAGAGCUUGCUCUUACGGGUGGCGAGUGGCGGACGGGUGAGGAAUACAUCGGAAUCUACUUUUUCGUGGGGGAUAACGUAGGGAAACUUACGCUAAUACCGCAUACGACCUACGGGUGAAAGCAGGGGAUCUUCGGACCUUGCGCGAUUGAAUGAGCCGAUGUCGGAUUAGCUAGUUGGCGGGGUAAAGGCCCACCAAGGCGACGAUCCGUAGCUGGUCUGAGAGGAUGAUCAGCCACACCGGAACUGAGACACGGUCCAGACUCCUACGGGAGGCAGCAGUGGGGAAUAUUGGACAAUGGGCGCAAGCCUGAUCCAGCCAUACCGCGUGGGUGAAGAAGGCCUUCGGGUUGUAAAGCCCUUUUGUUGGGAAAGAAAAGCAGCAGGUUAAUACCCCGCCGUUCUGACGGUACCCAAAGAAUAAGCACCGGCUAACUUCGUG
rnacentral:rRNA from 1 species